CGGGAUGUGGCGCAGUGGUAGCGCACUUGCUUCGGGAGCAAGGGGUCGCUGGUUCAAAUCCAGUCAUCCCGA
rnacentral:tRNA from 1 species